UACGUAGGGGGCAAGCGUUGUCCGGAUUUAUUGGGCGUAAAGAGCGUGUAGGCGGCCAGGUAGGUCAGCUGUGAAAACUCGAGGCUCAACCUCGAGACGCCGGUUGAAACCAUCUGGCUAGAGUCCGGAAGAGGAGAGUGGAAUUCCUGGUGUAGCGGUGAAAUGCGCAGAUAUCAGGAGGAACACCGAUUGCGAAGGCAGCUCGCUGGGACGUUACUGACGCUGAGACGCGAAAGCGUGGGGAGCAAACAGG
rnacentral:rRNA from 1 species